rnacentral:rRNA from 1 species
CGGGGUGAGUAAUGUCUGGGAAACUGCCUGAUGGCGGGGGGUAACUACUGGAAACGGUAGCUAAUACCGCAUAAUGUCUACGGACCAAAGCGGGGGACCUCCGGGCCUCGCGCCAUCAGAUGAACCCAUAUGGGAUUAGCUAGUAGGUGAGGUAACGGCUCACCUAGGCGACGAUCCCUAGCUGGUCUGAGAGGAUGACCAGCCACACUGGAACUGAGACACGGUCCAG